rnacentral:rRNA from 1 species
AUUGAACGCUGGCGGCAGGCCUAACACAUGCAAGUCGAGCGGAUGAAGGGAGCUUGCUCCUGGAUUCAGCGGCGGACGGGUGAGUAAUGCCUAGGAAUCUGCCUGGUAGUGGGGGAUAACGUCCGGAAACGGGCGCUAAUACCGCAUACGUCCUGAGGGAGAAAGUGGGGGAUCUUCGGACCUCACGCUAUCAGAUGAGCCUAGGUCGGAUUAGCUAGUUGGUGGGGUAAAGGCCUACCAAGGCGACGAUCCGUAACUGGUCUGAGAGGAUGAUCAGUCACACUGGAACUGAGACACGGUCCAGACUCCUACGGGAGGCAGCAGUGGGGAAUAUUGGACAAUGGGCGAAAGCCUGAUCCAGCCAUGCCACGUGUGUGAAGAAGGUCUUCGGAUUGUAAAGCACUUUAAGUUGGGAGGAAGGGCAGUAAGUUAAUACCUUGCUGUUUUGACGUUACCAACGGAAUAAGCACCGGCUAACUUCGUG